rnacentral:rRNA from 1 species
UACGGAGGGAGCUAGCGUUGUUCGGAAUUACUGGGCGUAAAGCGCACGUAGGCGGCUUUGUAAGUUAGAGGUGAAAGCCCGGGCUCAACUCCGGAACUGCCUUUAAGACUGCAUCGCUUGAAUCCAGGAGAGGUGAGUGGAAUUCCGAAUGUAGAGGUGAAAUUCGUAGAUAUUCGGAAGAACACCAGUGGCGAAGGCGGCUCACUGGACUGGUAUUGACGCUGAGGUGGCGAAAGCGUGGGGAGCAAACAGGGAUUAAG